CCUACGGGGGGCAGCAGUGAGGAAUAUUGGUCAAUGGACGGAAGUCUGAACCAGCCAUGCCGCGUGCAGGUAGACGGCUCUAUGAGUUGUAAACUGCUUUUGUACAAGGGUAAACCUGAAUACGUGUAUUCAGCUGAAAGUACUGUACGAAUAAGGAUGGGCUAACUCGGUGCAAGCAGCCGCGGUAAUACGGAGGAUGCGAGCGUUAUCCGGAUUUAUUGGGUUAAAGGGGUGCGGAGGGUGAGUGUCAAGCAAGCGGGAAAAGAACGGGGCUCAACCGCGUCGAGCCGUUUGAACUGGCGCGCUUGAGUUCAGACGAGGUAGGCGGAAGUCGUGGUGUAGCGGUGAAAUGCAUAGAUAUCACAAAGAACUCCGAUUGCGAAGGCAGCUUACCAGUCUGCGACUGACGCUCAGGCACGAAAGUGUGGGUAUCGAACAGGAUUAGAUACCCCAGUAGUC
rnacentral:rRNA from 1 species